GAUGAAGAACGCAGCGAAAUGCGAUAAGUAAUGUGAAUUGCAGAAUUCAGUGAAUCAUCGAAUCUUUGAACGCAUCUUGCGCUCCUUGGUAUUCUGAGGAGCAUGCCUGUUUGAGUGUCAUUAAAUUCUCAACUACACUGACUUUGAAUUGGUGUGGCUUGGAUUUGGGGGAAAAUUGUUGUGGGCUUUUUGUAUAGUCUGCUCCCCUGAAAUUGAUUAGCGGUACCUUUGUGGAACUGUCUACAGGUGUGAUAAUUAUCUACAUCUUAGACAUCUGCUGGAAUGCUGCUUUCUAAACCUUACUUGUAUUGACAAUCUUGACCUCAAAUCAGGUAGGACUACCCGCUGAACUUAAGCAUAUCAAUAAGCGGAGGA
rnacentral:misc_RNA from 1 species